rnacentral:lncRNA from 1 species
UUCUGCAACAUAUCCAGUUCUUAAAUCGCAUUUAGCGAGCUAGCGUUCACACGGGACAGCCAAACAUAUGAAGAAACUCUUAUAUCUCCCGAUACAGUUGAAAACUCACUUUCAUUGCAAACUAAAGGAGGACAAGAUAAAGGAUCAAAUCAGAAAGUGUCAUUCCUUCUUGAAGAUCAUCAAGAUGGAGCAAGCCACAGCUAUUGCCAAAUAAUUACGUAGAAAGAAUAUGAUCAUCACUACAAAUGCCGAAGCUUUGGUGACAUAAACUGGCGGAGUCGACACAUUGCCAAAUAAUUACGUAAAUAGCUCCCACCAAGGUCGGGAUCC